rnacentral:miRNA from 1 species
CAUUUUGAUCAAUUGACUUGGC